UUGACCUCGAAUCAGGUAGGACUACCCGCUGAACUUAAGCAUAUCAAUAAGCGGAGGAAAAGAAACCAACAGGGAUUGCCCCAGUAACGGCGAGUGAAGCGGCAACAGCUCAAAUUUGAAAUCUGGUCCCCAGGGCCCGAGUUGUAAUUUGCAGAGGAUGCUUUUGGUGAGGUGCCUUCCGAGUUCCCUGGAACGGGACGCCAUAGAGGGUGAGAGCCCCGUCUGGUUGGAUACCGAGCCUCUGUAAAGCUCCUUCGACGAGUCGAGUAGUUUGGGAAUGCUGCUCUAAAUGGGAAGGUAUAUGUCUUCUAAAGCUAAAUAUUGGCCAGAGACCGAUAGCGCACAAGUAGAGUGAUCGAAAGAUGAAAAGCACUUUGAAAAGAGGGUUAAAUAGUACGUGAAAUUGUUGAAAGGGAAGCACUUAUGACCAGACUUGGCCCCGGUGAAUCAUCCAGCGGUUCCCGCUGGUGCACUUUGCCGGGGUUCAGGCCAGCAUCAGUUCGCUCCGGGGGAUAAAGGCUUUGGGAAUGUGGCUCCCUCGGGAGUGUUAUAGCCCAUUGCGCAAUACCCUGUGGCGGGCUGAGGUUCGCGCUUUAUGCAAGGAUGCUGGCAUAAUGGUCAUCAGUGACCCGUCUUGAAACACGGACCAAGGAGUCGUCUUCGUAUGCGAGUGUUCGGGUGUUAAACCCCUACGCGUAAUGAAAGUGAACGCAGGUGAGAGCCCUCCAGGGCGCAUCAUCGACCGAUCCUGAUGUUCUCGGAUGGAUUUGAGUAAGAGCAUACGGGGCCGGACCCGAAAGAAGGUGAACUAUGCCUGUAUAGGGUGAAGCCAGAGGAAACUCUGGUGGAGGCUCGCAGCGGUUCUGACGUGCAAAUCGAUCGUCAAAUAUGGGCAUGGGGGCGAAAGACUAAUCGAACCUUCUAGUAGCUGGUUUCCGCCGAAGUUUCCCUCAGGAUAGCAGUGUUGAUUUCUCAGUUUUAUGAGGUAAAGCGAAUGAUUAGGGACCCGGGGGCGGCUUAUAGCCUUCAUCCAUUCUCAAACUUUAAAUAUGUAAGAAGCCCUUGUUGCUUAGGUGAACGUGGGCA
rnacentral:rRNA from 1 species